rnacentral:misc_RNA from 1 species
AGAUGAAGAACGUAGCGAAAUGCGAUAAGUAGUGUGAAUUGCAGAAUUCAGUGAAUCAUCGAAUCUUUGAACGCACAUUGCGCCCCUUGGUAUCCCGAGGGGCAUGCCUGUUCGAGCGUCAUUUCACCACUCAAGCCUGGCUUGGUGUUGGGCGACGUCCUCUUUGGGGACGCGCCUCGAAACGCUCGGCGGCGUGGCACCGGCUUUAAGCGUAGCAGAAUCUUUCGCUUUGGAAGUCGGGGCCCCAUCUGCCGGAAGACCUGCUCGCAAGGUUGACCUCGGAUCAGGCAGGGAUACCCGCUGAACUUAAGCAUAUCAAUAAGCGGAGA